AGAGUUUGAUCAUGGCUCAGGAUGAACGCUGGCGGCGUGCUUAACACAUGCAAGUCGAACGAUGAUCCCCAGCUUGCUGGGGGGAUUAGUGGCGAACGGGUGAGUAACACGUGAGUAACCUGCCCUUGACUCUGGGAUAAGCCUGGGAAACUGGGUCUAAUACCGGAUAUGACUCCUCAUCGCAUGGUGGGGGGUGGAAAGCUUUUGCGGUUUUGGAUGGACUCGCGGCCUAUCAGCUUGUUGGUGAGGUAAUGGCUCACCAAGGCGACGACGGGUAGCCGGCCUGAGAGGGUGACCGGCCACACUGGGACUGAGACACGGCCCAGACUCCUACGGGAGGCAGCAGUGGGGAAUAUUGCACAAUGGGCGAAAGCCUGAUGCAGCGACGCCGCGUGAGGGAUGACGGCCUUCGGGUUGUAAACCUCUUUCAGUAGGGAAGAAGCGAAAGUGACGGUACCUGCAGAAGAAGCACCGGCUAACUACGUGCCAGCAGCCGCGGUAAUACGUAGGGCGCAAGCGUUAUCCGGAAUUAUUGGGCGUAAAGAGCUCGUAGGCGGUUUGUCGCGUCUGCCGUGAAAGUCCGGGGCUCAACUCCGGAUCUGCGGUGGGUACGGGCAGGCUAGAGUGAUGUAGGGGAGACUGGAAUUCCUGGUGUAGCGGUGAAAUGCGCAGAUAUCAGGAGGAACACCGAUGGCGAAGGCAGGUCUCUGGGCAUUAACUGACGCUGAGGAGCGAAAGCAUGGGGAGCGAACAGGAUUAGAUACCCUGGUAGUCCAUGCCGUAAACGUUGGGCACUAGGUGUGGGGGACAUUCCACGUUUUCCGCGCCGUAGCUAACGCAUUAAGUGCCCCGCCUGGGGAGUACGGCCGCAAGGCUAAAACUCAAAGGAAUUGACGG
rnacentral:rRNA from 1 species